AAGAAAAAGGAAUCAAAUUCUUACAAAUUAUGUUUAAAUGUUGUUCAGCGCAGAAUAAAAUCAACAAAACUAAAAUCUGCUAAAAUGACAGACUACCUUCAAGGAGGAGUGAAAAUAUCAGGUUUAAAUCCUUAAAAAGAGUCUUUUAAAGGGUUUAGCUGGGAGAACAUUGUCUCCAUGCCAGCGUGAGAGCGUGAGCGUUUGAACAGAACAUCCUGGCUGGAUGAGGGUUUCAGCGAGCAGAUGAAAGUGUCAGCGUGUGCUCCUCCAUGCCCUCCUGUGAUUUCAGAAUAACUUCUGAAUAGAUGUGGGUCCGUGUGAUGCGCUGCUCCCACUUCCAGCUGUUUGGACAUUCUCGCCUCGCAGAUUUAAUGAAGAGGAGUUUUGAAGAGGACGAUAAGGAGAGGAGAGCCGGGUUUGAUCUUGAAUCGGGGGAAAAAAGUGCAGGAGCCCUUCAGGCCUUCGCUUCUUGGAAGGCUCUUGUAGCCUCCAGGGAGGAUGCUAGCUCGCACUCCCCCCUCUCGGCUCCAUCCUUAUCUCGCGCCACCCCAGCCACUCAAGAUCAAUUAUGAUUGACAAGCACUCCUAUUAAGUUGAAACUGCCGGAUGGAGACAUCAGCGGCCCCCGCUCCCGUGCCCUCUUCCCUUCUUCAUCUCCGAGUCUCAUCGGCAGCCCGUGUGGCAGCAGGAAAAGUCAUCUUCCACCAGGCAAAGGCGGCGAUGCUUCCAGAAGCUUCUGCAGCGUGUCCGCCGGUUGUUUUCAAGAAUGGAUCCUUCCCAGCAUCUUCUGCAGGCCACUGAUCCACUCGGGAGGAGAGGGAUCCAAACGAAGACACAGAGUCAUCUGAUCUAUUGAAUUAUAAUAAUUAGUCCUGAAGGGGAAAGACCUACAAGAUGCUCAGAAUGGACUUUAGUUUAAACAGAAAUUCAACAAAAAA